rnacentral:rRNA from 1 species
GACGAACGCUGGCGGCGUGCUUAACACAUGCAAGUCGAACGGAAAGGCCCUGCUCUUGUGGGGUGCUCGAGUGGCGAACGGGUGAGUAACACGCGAGUAACCUGCCCUUGACUUUGGGAUAACUUCAGGAAAAUGGGGCUAAUACCCGAUAGGAGCUCCUGCUGCAUGGUGGUGGUUGGAAAGAUUCGGCGGUUCGGGAUGGACUCGCUGCUUCUCCGCUUGUUGGUGGGGUAGUGGCUUACCAAGGCUUUGACGGGUAGCCGGCCUGCGAGCGUGACCGGCCACAAUGGGACUGCGAGACGGCCCAGACUCCUACGGGAGGCAGCAGUGGGGAAUAUUGCGCAAUGGGCGGAAGCCUGAUACAGCAGCGCCGCGUGCGUGAUGCCGGCUUUCGGGUGGUAAACCGCUUUCGCCGUAGACGAAGAGUGAGUGACGGUAAUGGGUAAAGAAGCACCGGCUAACUACGUG